AGAAAAUCCAGUCUAUUCUGAGGUCAAGACGGGGAAGACCACAGCAACUGGACCUGUUGAUGUGACCUAUGCUGAGGUUGACCUUAAACAGAAGGCCAAAGCCAAGAAGAAGAAAGAAACAUCAACCCCACCUGAGACAGAUUCAGUCUUUUCUCAAUUGAAGCCAGUCACAGCCCCAGGUA